GUAGGGAAUAUUGGACAAUGGGCGAAAGCCUGAUCCAGCCAUGCCGCGUGAGUGAUGAAGGCCUUCGGGUCGUAAAGCUCUUUUCUGAGGGAAGAACAGCCGGGGGAGGAAAUGUCCCCGGCCUGACGGUACCUUAGGAAUAAGGGACGGCUAACUCCGUGCCAGCAGCCGCGGUAAUACGGAGGUCCCGAGCGUUGUUCGGAAUUACUGGGCGUAAAGGGAGCGCAGGCGGACGGGUCAGUCUGAAGUGGAAAUCCGGGGCUUAACCUCGGACUUGCUUCGGAUACUGCCCGUCUUGAGUUCGUGAGAGGAAGAUGGAAUUCAGGGUGUAGCGGUGAAAUGCUCAGAUAUCCUGAGGAACACCAGUGGCGAAAGCGGUCUUCUGGCACGAAACUGACGCUGAGGCUCGAAAGCGUGGGUAGCAAACAGGAUUAGAAACCCGAGUAGUCC
rnacentral:rRNA from 1 species